CACCCGUUCCCAUCCCGAACACGGCCGUGAAAACCCGCUGCGGCCAAGAUACUGGGGGCGCGAGCCCCUGGGAAAAUAGCACGCCGCCAGGAUACC
rnacentral:rRNA from 1 species